AUGAAGCUGAGUAUUUCCUUGCCAGCCUCUGCUGCCAGAAACUCAUUGAUGUGGACAAUGAACACAAACUUUGUUCUUUUUUGUGAGAAGCAUAUGGCCACAGAAGUUGCUGCUGAAACUUUGGGUGAAGAUUGGAAGGGUUAUGUGGUCCAAAUCAGUGGUGGGGACAAUAAGCAAGUUUUCCCCAUGAAGCAGAGUGUCUUGACCCAUGACCAGGUCCACCUGCUGCUGAGUAAUGGGCAGUUCUAUUAUAGACCACGGAAAACUGGGGAAGGGAAGCUCAAGUCUGUUUGAGCUUCCAUUGUGGAUGCCAGUCUUCAUUGUAAAAAACAAAAACAAAAAAGGAGAGGGGCAAAAGAUAUCCCUGGACUGACGGACACUAUAAUACCUUCGUAUCUGGGGCCCAAAAGAGCUAGCAGAAUCUGCAAACUUUUCAAUCUGUCUAAAGAAGACGAUGUUCGCCAGUACGUUGUGAGAAAGCCCUUAAACAAAGGAAGUAAGAAACCUAGAACCAAAGCACCCAAGAUUCAGCAUCUUAUAACUCCAUGUGUCCUGCAACAUAAAUACUGGAAUAUUGCUUUGAGGAAACAGUGUACUAAGAAAAAUAAGGAAGAGGCUGCUGAAUAUGCUAAACUUUUGGCCAAGAGAAUGAAGGAGGCCAAAGAAAAGUGCCAGGAACAGAUUGCCAAGAGACACAGCCUGUCCUCUCUGAGAACUUCAACUUCUAAGUCUGAAUUCAGUCAAAAAUAAGAUUUUUCAAGUAACAAAUAAAUGAGAUAGAAUCU